rnacentral:lncRNA from 1 species
CUUAGAAGAGGUGCACAGGAAGAAGCAGACCUGGAUGUUGGAAGUGUUCCUGCUCCUGCCUCAAAUGGGGGUGCUGGUGCCUUUCCCUUGGGUCUCAGAGAGUCGAGACAGUGACGAUGGCAACACUUUGGCAGUGGCAGUACAGAGGCAAAGCGUGUGCCCGCUUACCCAGCAGGCGCCCAUUUCUGCAGGGGUGAAUAAAGCAAGUGCAAACGCCCGAAGGUAG